rnacentral:rRNA from 1 species
CCUACGGGUGGCUGCAGUGGGGAAUAUUGGGCAAUGGGCGCAAGCCUGACCCAGCAACGCCGCGGGAAGGAAGAAGGCUGUCGGGUGGUAAACUUCUUUUCGCAGGGACGAAGCAAGUGACGGUACAUGAGGAAUAAGCCACGGCUAACGACGGGCCAGCAGCCGCGGUAAGACGUAGGUGGCAAGCGUUAUACGGAUUUACUGGGUGUAAAGGGCGUGUAGGCGGGAAAGCAAGGCAGAGGUGAAAACCAUGGGCUCCACCUGUGGCCUGCAUUUGAAACUGUUUUUCUUGAGUUCUGGAGCGGCAGUCGGCAUUCCUAGUGUAGCGGUUAAAUGCG